rnacentral:rRNA from 1 species
CCUACGGGAGGCUGCAGUGAGGAAUAUUGGUCAAUGGUCGGGAGACUGAACCAGCCAAGCCGCGUGAGGGAUGAAGGUACAGAGUAUCGUAAACCUCUUUUGUCAGGGGACAAAGGCGGGGACGUGUCCCCGGAUGAGUGUACCUGAAGAAAAAGCAUCGGCUAACUCCGUGCCAGCAGCCGCGGUAAUACGGAGGAUGCGAGCGUUAUCCGGAUUUAUUGGGUUUAAAGGGUGCGCAGGCGGUCUGGUAAGUCAGCGGUCAAAACCCGGGGCUCAACCCCGGGCCCGCGUGUGAAACUGGCAGUCUAGAGUUGGAGUGAAGUAGGCGGAAUGUGCGGUGUAGCGGUGAAAUGCAUAGAGAUCGUGCAGAACUCCGAUUGCGAAGGCAGCAUGCCGGCUCCACACUGACGCUGAGGCACGAAAGCGUGGGUAUCGAACAGGAUUAGAUACCCUUGUAGUC